rnacentral:rRNA from 1 species
GACGAACGCUGGCGGCGUGCUUAACACAUGCAAGUCGAACGGAAAGGCCCUGCUUUUGUGGGGUGCUCGAGUGGCGAACGGGUGAGUAACACGUGAGUAACCUGCCCUUGACUUUGGGAUAACUUCAGGAAACUGGGGCUAAUACCGGAUAGGAGCUCCUGCUGCAUGGUGGGGGUUGGAAAGUUUCGGCGGUUGGGGAUGGACUCGCGGCUUAUCAGCUUGUUGGUGGGGUAGUGGCUUACCAAGGCUUUGACGGGUAGCCGGCCUGAGAGGGUGACCGGCCACAUUGGGACUGAGAUACGGCCCAGACUCCUACGGGAGGCAGCAGUGGGGAAUAUUGCACAAUGGGCGGAAGCCUGAUGCAGCAACGCCGCGUGCAGGAUGACGGCCUUCGGGUAGUAAACCGCUUUCGCCUGUGACGAAGCGUGAGUGACGGUAAUGGGUAAAGAAGCACCGGCUAACUACGUG